CCCGCAUCUUUUUAUAUUAAAUCACUUUAACUUAUAACUAUAAUAAUUGAAAUAACUUUCUGAAAUAAAACCCUAACAUACGUGUAUAUCAGACGUUUAACAAAACGAUAUACCAUACGAUUGAUGAAACGCUAAACGAUAUCACAUACCAUACGAUAAACGAAACGCUAAACGCUAAACCAUACCAUAAACCAUACGACAAAUAAAACGAUUAACGAUACCAUGAACCAUACGUUAUACAAAACCAUCAACGAUAACAUUUACCAUACGAUGAACGAAC
rnacentral:lncRNA from 1 species